UGAGGAAUAUUCCGCAAUGGGCGAAAGCCUGACGGAGCGACGCCGCGUGGAUGAUGAAGUCUUUCGGGAUGUAAAGUCCUUUCAGCAGGGACGAUAAUGACGGUACCUGCAGAAGAAGCCCCGGCUAACUACGUGCCAGCAGCCGCGGUAAUACGUAGGGGGCAAGCGUUGUCCGGAAUCACUGGGCGUAAAGGGCACGUAGGCGGCCAUGUAAGUCAGAUGUUAAAGGUAUAAGCUCAACUUAUAUUUCGCAUCUGAUACUGCUUGGCUAGAGAAUGGGAGAGGGAAACGGAAUUUCCGGUGUAGCGGUGAAAUGCGUAGAUAUCGGAAAGAACACCAGUGGCGAAGGCGGUUUCCUGGACCAUUUCUGACGCUGAGGUGCGAAAGCUAGGGGAGCAAACAGG
rnacentral:rRNA from 1 species